AUACGGGGGAUGCAAGCGUUAUUCGGAAUCAUUGGGCGUAAAGGGCACGCAGGCGGUUCUGUCAGUCAGAUGUGAAAGCCCGGGGCUUAACCCCGGACGUGCAUUUGAAACAGCAGGACUUGAGUAUGGUAGAGGAAAGCGGAAUUCCUGGUGCAGAGGUGAAAUUCGUAGAUAUCAGGAGGAACACCGGUGGCGAAGGCGGCUUUCUGGACCAAAACUGACGCUGAGGUGCGAAGGCGUGGGUAGCGAACAGGAUUAGAAACCCUAGUAGUCC
rnacentral:rRNA from 1 species